UUUACAUCUAUAUAUACAUUUUUGCAGCCAUUUUGUGAAAUAAAUCUUGUAGUUGAGACUUAUUUACAAUGGCUGCCACUGGAUUUUAAUGUUUGUUUUUGAUAAUUAGAAAAAAAUCUUUGAAUUAAAUAUGUGACAUUUAACAAUCUUCCUUAAAUCUCUCCACAUUAACUACACGAUUAGUUACUAAAAUAAAACUUCCAAAAUAUUUAAUAUCAUUAAACCACAGAGAUAUUUGAUAGCAUUUAAUUACUACAAAAUUACAAAAUAUUUAGAUAAUAAUUUAUGAACAUAUCAUAAAUAAGAUCAGCAUUAAUAAAAUAAAUGGUUUUUUUACGGGACGGGUUUGACAGGACGUUACUUAAUAACAAUUGUAAUUAUAAAAUAAAAAUAUUUUAUAGAUAUAUACAAUUUACAAACUUGUAUGUAUACUAACUUUAAAAAAUAAAUUGUUCCCGCAGUGUACCGCGGGUUAAAAUCUAGUAAAUAACUUAAAAUCUUAGAUUGAAUACAUCUCUUUUGGUUGUGAUAUUUUUCAAAAAUCCUCAUUAUUGUAUAUCUU
rnacentral:sRNA from 1 species